rnacentral:rRNA from 1 species
AUUGAACGCUGGCGGCAUGCCUUACACAUGCAAGUCGAACGGCAGCACGGGAGCGAUCCUGGUGGCGAGUGGCGAACGGGUGAGUAAAGUAUCGGAACGUGCCCAGUCGUGGGGGAUAACGUAGCGAAAGCUACGCUAAUACCGCAUACGAUCUAUGGAUGAAAGCGGGGGAUCGCAAGACCUCGCGCGAUUGGAGCGGCCGAUAUCAGAUUAGGUAGUUGGUGGGGUAAAGGCCCACCAAGCCGAAGAUCUGUAGCUGGUCUGAGAGGACGACCAGCCACACUGGGACUGAGACACGGCCCAGACUCCUACGGGAGGCAGCAGUGGGGAAUUUUGGACAAUGGGCGCAAGCCUGAUCCAGCAAUGCCGCGUGCAGGAUGAAGGCCUUCGGGUUGUAAACUGCUUUUGUACGGAGCGAAAAGGUCUCCUCUAAUACAGGGGGCUCAUGACGGUACCGUAAGAAUAAGCACCGGCUAACUACGUGCCAGCCGCCGCAGUAA